GCCGAAAACAAUUUUUAUUUAGUUGUUGCAUUGUGCUAAGGAAGCUGGUGUGACUUACAUCCUCAAAGCUGGAGGAGCACAGUCCAUAUCUGCUAUGGCUUGGGGCACAGAAUCUUGCCCAAAGGUUGAGAAGAUUUUUGGGCCUGGGAAUCAGUAUGUUACAGCAGCAAAAAUGAUUCUCCAAGCAUG